rnacentral:rRNA from 1 species
AGAGUUUGAUCAUGGCUCAGGAUGAACGCUGGCGGCGUGCCUAAUACAUGCAAGUCGAACGGAGAGUGUAGCAAUAUACUCUUAGUGGCGAAUGGGUGAGUAACGCGUUGGUGACCUGCCCCGAAGAGAGGGAUAACGGUUCGAAAGGACUGCUAAUACCUCGUGUUGUCCUCUGGGUUAGAGACCGGAAGACUAAAGGAGCAAUCCGCUUCGGGAGGGGCCUGCGUCCCAUCAGCUAGUUGGUAGGGUAAUGGCCUACCAAGGCGACGACGGGUAGGGGGCCUGAGAGGGUGAUCCCCCACACUGGCACUGAAACACGGGCCAGACACCUACGGGUGGCAGCAGUAGGGAGUAUUGCACAAUGGGCGAAAGCCUGAUGCAGCAACGCCGCGUGCACGAUGAAGGCCUUCGGGUUGUAAAGUGCUUUUCGGGGAGAUGAGGAAGGACAGUAUCCCCGGAAUAAGUCUCGGCUAACUACGUGCCAGCAGCCGCGGUAAAACGUAGGAGACGAGCGUUAUCCGAAUUUACUGGGCGUAAAGCGCGUGUAGGCGGUUCGGUAAGUUGGAUGUGAAAUCUCCUGGCUCAACUAGGAGAGGACGUUCAAUACUGUCGGACUAGAGGGCGAUAGAGGGAGGUAGAAUUCCCGGUGUAGUGGUGAAAUGCGUAGAUAUCGGGAGGAAUACCAGUGGCGAAGGCGGCCUCCUGGAUCGUACCUGACGCUCAGACGCGAAAGCUAGGGGAGCAAACGGGAUUAGAAACCCCGGUAGUCCUAGCCGUAAACUAUGUAGACUUGGUGUCGGUGGGAUAAACUCCAUCGGUGCCGUAGCUAACGCGUUAAGUCUACCGCCUGGGGACUACGGUCGCAAGGCUAAAACUCAAAGGAAUUGACGG